AUUGAACGCUGGCGGCGUGCUUAACACAUGCAAGUCGAACGAGAGGCGAACGGGUGAGUAACAAGUGGGUGACCUGCCCUGCACUUCGGGAUAAGCCUGGGAAAAUGGGUCUAAUACCGGCUAGUGUGGGGUGGGCCCGAGGCCUAUCAGCUUGUUGGUGGGGUAGUGGCAACCACGGCGCGACGGGUAGCCGGCCUGAGAGGGUGGACGGCCACAUUGGGACUGAGACACGGCCCAGACUCCUACGGGAGGCAGCAGUGGGGAAUAUUGCACAAUGGGCGGAAGCCUGAUGCAGCGACGCCGCGUGGGUGAUGACGGCCUUCGGGUUGUAAAGCACUUUAAGUGGGGAGGCGUUACCAACAGAAUAAGCACCGGCUAACUUCGUGCCAGCAGCCGCGGUAAUAC
rnacentral:rRNA from 1 species